GAGUUUGAUCGUGGCUCAGAUUGAACGCUGGCGGCAUGCCUUACACAUGCAAGUCGAACGGCAGCACGGGAGCUUGCUCCUGGUGGCGAGUGGCGAACGGGUGAGUAAUGCAUCGGAACGUAUCCUGGAGUGGGGGAUAACGUAGCGAAAGUUACGCUAAUACCGCAUAUUCUGUGAGCAGGAAAGCGGGGGACCUUCGGGCCUCGCGCUCUUGGAGUGGCCGAUGUCGGAUUAGCUAGUUGGUGAGGUAAAGGCUCACCAAGGCGACGAUCCGUAGCAGGUCUGAGAGGAUGAUCCGCCACACUGGAACUGAGACACGGUCCAGACUCCUACGGGAGGCAGCAGUGGGGAAUUUUGGACAAUGGGGGCAACCCUGAUCCAGCCAUGCCGCGUGAGUGAAGAAGGCCU
rnacentral:rRNA from 1 species